UAACUGCGAGUGAAGCGGGAAAAGCUCAAAUUUAAAAUCUGGCAGUCUUUCGGCUGUCCGAGUUGUAAUCUAGAGAAGUGUUAUCCGCGCUGGACCGUGUACAAGUCUCCUGGAAUGGAGCGUCAUAGAGGGUGAGAAUCCCGUCUUUGACACGGACUACCAGGGCUUUGUGAUGCGCUCUCAAAGAGUCGAGUUGUUUGGGAAUGCAGCUCAAAAUGGGUGGUAAAUUCCAUCUAAAGCUAAAUAUUGGCGAGAGACCGAUAGCGAACAAGUACCGUGAGGGAAAGAUGAAAAGAACUUUGGAAAGAGAGUUAAACAGUACGUGAAAUUGCUGAAAGGGAAACGCUUGAAGUCAGUCGCGUUGUCCAGGGAUCAACCUUGCUUUUGCUUGGUGCACUUUCUGGUUAACGGGUCAGCAUCAAUUUUGACUAUUGGAAAAAGGUUAAGGGAAUGUGGCAUCUUUGGAUGUGUUAUAGCCCUUGAUUGUAUACAAUAGUUGGGAUUGAGGAACUCAGCACGCCGCAAGGCCGGGUUUUUAACCACGUACGUGCUUAGGAUGCUGGCAUAAUGGCUUUAAUCGACCCGUCUUGAAACACGGACCAAGGAGUCUAACAUGCCUGCGAGUGUUUGGGUGGAAAACCCGAGCGCGUAAUGAAAGUGAAAGUUGAGAUCCCUGUCGUAGGGAGCAUCGACGCCCGGACCAGACCUUUUGUGACGGUUCCGCGGUAGAGCAUGUAUGUUGGGACCCGAAAGAUGGUGAACUAUGCCUGAAUAGGGUGAAGCCAGAGGAAACUCUGGUGGAGGCUCGUAGCGAUUCUGACGUGCA
rnacentral:rRNA from 1 species